AUUGAACGCUGGCGGCAGGCCUAACACAUGCAAGUCGAGCGGAUGAAGGGAGCUUGCUCCUGGAUUCAGCGGCGGACGGGUGAGUAAUGCCUAGGAAUCUGCCUGGUAGUGGGGGCUAACGUCCGGACACGGGCGCUAAUACCGCAUACGACCUGAGGGAGAAAGUGGGGGAUCUUCGGACCUCACGCUAUCAGAUGAGCCUAGGUCGGAUUAGCUAGUUGGUGGGGUAAAGGCCUACCAAGGCGACGAUCCGUAACUGGUCUGAGAGGAUGAUCAGUCACACUGGAACUGAGACACGGUCCAGACUCCUACGGGAGGCAGCAGUGGGGAAUAUUGGGCAAUGGGCGAAAGCCUGAUCCAGCCAUGCCGCGUGUGUGAAGAAGGUCUUCGGAUUGUAAAGCACUUUAAGUUGGGAGGAAGGGCAGUAAGUUAAUACCUUGCUGUUUUGACGUUACCAACAGAAUAAGCACCGGCUAACUUCGUG
rnacentral:rRNA from 1 species